GAUGAACGCUGGCGGCGUGCCUAAUACAUGCAAGUCGAGCGAACGGACGAGAAGCUUGCUUUUCUGAUGUUAGCGGCGGACGGGUGAGUAACACGUGGAUAACCUACCUAUAAGACUGGGAUAACUUCGGGAAACCGGAGCUAAUACCGGAUAAUAUUUUGAACCGCAUGGUUCAAAAGUGAAAGACGGUCUUGCUGUCACUUAUAGAUGGAUCCGCGCUGCAUUAGCUAGUUGGUAAGGUAACGGCUUACCAAGGCAACGAUGCAUAGCCGACCUGAGAGGGUGAUCGGCCACACUGGAACUGAGACACGGUCCAGACUCCUACGGGAGGCAGCAGUAGGGAAUCUUCCGCAAUGGGCGAAAGCCUGACGGAGCAACGCCGCGUGAGUGAUGAAGGUCCUCGGAUCGUAAAACUCUGUUAUUAGGGAAGAACAUAUGUGUAAGUAACUGUGCACAUCUUGACGGUACCUAAUCAGAAAGCCCCGGCUAACUACGUG
rnacentral:rRNA from 1 species